rnacentral:rRNA from 1 species
AAUGAACGUUGGCGGCGUGGAUUAGGCAUGCAAGUCGCGCGAGAAGUCAUUUAGCUUGCUAAAAGACGGACAGCGGCGGAAGGGAGAGUAACGCGUGGUUAUGUACCCUCGAGACCGGGAUAGUGUCGGGAAACUGGCAGUAAUACCGGAUAACAUCUUCGGAUCAAAUGGUGUGAUUCCGCUCGAGGAUCGGACCGCGUACUAUUAGCUAGUUGGAGGGGUAAUGGCCCACCAAGGCUUAGAUGGUUACCGGGUGUGAGAGCAUGGCCCGGCUCACUGGGACUGAGACACUGCCCAGACAUCUACGGAUGGCUGCAGUCGAGAAUCUUCGGCAAUGGACGAAAGUCUGACCGAGUGACGCCGCGUGCGGGAUGAAGGCCUUCGGGUUGUAAACCGCUGUCAGUUAGGAGGAAAUCCAUGAGGGUUCUCUCUCAUGGUUGACCGAUUUUCAGAGGAAGGACGGGCUAAGUUCGUGCCAGCCGCCGCGGUAAAAC